rnacentral:rRNA from 1 species
UGAAUACGAGAUGCUACGGCGUCGAAGCAGUCUAUGUCAUACUUCCAAGAAAAGCUCGCACUGUCAUAAACAAAUAAUGCCUGUACCAUAACCGACACAGGUGGGUAGGUAGAGUAUACUAAGGGGCGCGAGAUAACUCUCUCUAAGGAACUCGGCAAAAUGACUCCGUAACUUCGGGAGAAGGAGUGCCUUAUUUAUAAGGUUGCAAUAACAAGAUCCAAGCAACUGUUUAUCAAAAACACAGGUCUCCGCUAAGUCGUAAGACGAUGUAUGGGGGCUGACGCCUGCCCAGUGCCAGAAGGUUAAAGAAGUUGGUUAGCAUUCGCGAAGCUGAUAACUGAAGCCCUGGUGAACGGCGGCCGUAACAAUAACGGUCCUAAGGUAGCGAAAUUCCUUGUCGGGUAAGUUCCGACCCGCACGAAAGGCGUAAUGAUUUGGAUACUGUCUCGGAGAGGGGCUCGGUGAAAUAGACUUGUCUGUGAAGAUGCGGACUACCUGCACCAGGACAGAAAGACCCUAUGAAGCUUUACUGUAACUUGAGAUUGAAAUUGGACUUUACUUGCGCAGUAUAGGUGGGAGGCGUUGAUAAUAUUCUUGCGGGAUUAUUUGAGCCAUCAGUGAGAUACCACUCUUGUAAUGUUAGAUUUCUAACUUUGUAUCAUUAUCUGGUCAAAGGACAGUUUCAGGCGGGCAGUUUGACUGGGGCGGUCGCCUCCUAAACGGUAACGGAGGCGCACAAAGGUUUCCUCUGAACGGGUAGAAAUCGUAUCUAGAGUGUAAAGGCAUAAGGAAGCUUGACUGUGAGACCUACAAGUCGAGCAGGGACGAAAGUCGGUCUUAGUGAUCUGACGGUGCUGAGUGGAAAGGCCGUCACUCAACGGAUAAAAGUUACUCUAGGAUAACAGGCUGAUCUCCCCCAAGAGUUCACAUCGACGGGGAGGUUUGGCACCUGGAUGUCGGCUCAUCGCAUCCUGGGGCGGUAGUACGUCCCAAGGGUUGGGCUGUUCGCCCAUGAAAGCGGUACGCGAGCUGGGUUCAGAACGUCGUGAGACAGUUCGGUCCAUAUCCGGUGUAGGCGUUAGAAUAUUGAGAGGAGCCUUCUUUAGUACGAGAGGACCGAGAAGGACAUACCUCUGGUGUACCAGUUAUCGUGCCAACGGUAAACGCUGGGUAGCUAUGUAUGGAGUGGAUAACCGCUGAAAGCAUCUAAGUGGGAAGCCCACCUCAAGAUAAGUAUUCUC